CGGGUGCGCAUUGCCGGCUUCUGCGAGCCUGGAGAAAACAGCGAGGAGGGUUUGGGUAUUCAGGAGCCCUCUCGCAUCGAUAAAACCCACGGAGGCUUCCAAUUUCUUCACUUCCAUUGUCCCCAACGGCCUUUUCGGGCCGACCAUCGCUGUGGUGAGAAUCCUCUGAGUCCUGCGACCACGGACUUCAGCGUUCUCUGCAUCACAAUCAGGCCUGUCACCACCGCUGGGUGGUUCUCCUCUGCUUCUGCACUCCGAGACAGUUAAGUGGAAGGAACUUGAGGCCUCUGGACACUGCGAGGAAGAUUGCGAAGGAUCUUCUUAGAAGUCCCAGGAGUCCUCAUCUCCCCUAUUCCGCUUCUGCUGCCUCUCACAGCUCUUGGAUGCUGAGCUUCUGAUUGAUUUCGGCGCACUUAUCUCAGUGGCUCAGAAGGGAAUGAGGUUCCUUGAUUCAAUUCAAGUGAAGGUCCAAACCAGUUGUGUUUGUACUGUUUUCCUCUGUGGGGCCUUUGAUUCUUUAGGGAUAAUAAAACUAUAGCCAAGUGGG